UGGGGAAUAUUGCACAAUGGGCGCAAGCCUGAUGCAGCCAUGCCGCGUGUAUGAAGAAGGCCUUCGGGUUGUAAAGUACUUUCAGCGAGGAGGAAGGCGUUGUGGUUAAUAACCGCAACGAUUGACGUUACUCGCAGAAGAAGCACCGGCUAACUCCGUGCCAGCAGCCGCGGUAAUACGGAGGGUGCCAGCGUUAAUCGGAAUUACUGGGCGUAAAGCGCACGCAGGCGGUCUGUCAAGUCGGAUGUGAAAUCCCCGGGCUCAACCUGGGAACUGCAUCCGAAACUGGCAGGCUAGAGUCUUGUAGAGGGGGGUAGAAUUCCAGGUGUAGCGGUGAAAUGCGUAGAGAUCUGGAGGAAUACCGGUGGCGAAGGCGGCCCCCUGGACAAAGACUGACGCUCAGGUGCGAAAGCGUGGGGAGCAAACA
rnacentral:rRNA from 1 species